AUGGCGCCCAGCUUUGGCCGCUCCAUCUCCUUCCCGCUCAGCCCGGCGCGCGCCUCCAGGGCCCGCGCCGCGGCCUACCACGUCCGCUCCGUCUCCCUCCCCUGCCACUCCCACCCGCUCCUCUCCCACCUCGCCGCCCAAAUCUCCGCCGUCCGCGCCUGGAUCGCCGCCCCCGGCGCGCCCUCCACGGGCCUCGCCCGCCUCGACGCGCUCCACGCCGCGCUCGCCGAGCUCCUGCUCCUCCCGGAGGCCCGCGCCGCGCUGCACAGCGGGUCCAACACCGCCGACUGCCUCCUCGACGGCUUCCUGAACCUCGCCGACGCGCACGGCGCGUUCCAGGAGUCGCUCCUCGAGCUCCGCGCCCACGCCGCCGAGGCGCAGGCCGCGCUCCGUCGCCGCGACGACAGCAGGCUGGCCUCCGCGGUCCGGUCCCUGCGCCGCGCCGAGAAGGAGCUGGCCCGCCUCGCCGCCUCCGUGCGCGUCGCGGCCAAGUUCCCCACGCCCUCCGCGUCCACCAGCGCGGCGGAGGUCGAGGUGUCCGGGGUGCUCGCCGAGGCCGUGGCCACCGCGGCGUGCGCGUCCGCCGCCGUCUUCUCCGCCGUCGAGGCCGUGUCCUCCGCCGCCACAUCCAAGAAGACCACCGCGGCGUCCUCCCUCCGGGCCCUCGUCAUGCGGGCCAAGGCCUCCUCCGACGAGGACAGGGAGGUGGCCGCCCUGGAGAGGCUGGAGGAGGUGGAGGCGUGCGCCGCCGAGAUCGAGAGCGGCAGCGACAAGGUGUUCCGCAGCAUCCUGCACACCAGGGUCGCGCUCCUCAACAUCCAGACCCAGACCUGCUGCUGA
rnacentral:rRNA from 1 species